CGGAGGGUGCGAGCGUUAUCCGGAAUUACUGGGUUUAAAGGGUGCGUAGGCGGCCAGGUAAGUCAGGAGUGAAAGUUUGCGGCUCAACCGUAAAAUUGCUUUUGAUACUGCCAGGCUAGAAUUAGAAUGAGGUCAGCGGAAUGUGGCAUGUAGCGGUGAAAUGCAUAGAUAUGCCAUAGAACACCAAUUGCGAAGGCAGCUGGCUAGACCUGGAUUGACGCUGAGGCACGAAAGCGUGGGGAGCGAACAGGAUUAGAUACCCUGGUAGUCCACGCCCUAAACGAUGCUUACUCGACGUAUGUCGCUAGACGAUGUGCGUCCAAGGGAAACCGUUAAGUAAGCCACCUGGGGAGCACGACCGCAAGGUUG
rnacentral:rRNA from 1 species